rnacentral:rRNA from 1 species
AUUGAACGCUGGCGGCAUGCCUUACACAUGCAAGUCGAACGGCAGCACGGGCUUCGGUCUGGUGGCGAGUGGCGAACGGGUGAGUAAUGUAUCGGAACGUACCUUAGAGUGGGGGAUAACGUAGCGAAAGUUACGCUAAUACCGCAUAUUCCGUGCGCAGGAAAGCAGGGGAUCGCAAGACCUUGUGCUCUUUGAGCGGCCGAUAUCAGAUUAGCUAGUUGGUGAGGUAAAAGCUCACCAAGGCGACGAUCUGUAGCGGGUCUGAGAGGAUGAGCCUCCACACUGGAACUGAGACACGGUCCAGACUCCUACGGGAGGCAGCAGUGGGGAAUUUUGGACAAUGGGGGCAACCCUGAUCCAGCCAUGCCGCGUGAGUGAAGAAGGCCUUCGGGUUGUAAAGCUCUUUCAGCCGGGAAGAAAUCGCAUAGGUUAAUACCCUGUGCGGAUGACGGUACCGGAAUAAGAAGCACCGGCUAACUACGUGCCAGCCGCCGCGGUAACAC